ensembl:lncRNA LINC02762 long intergenic non-protein coding RNA 2762
GGCUCCGGGCGGGCGUGGUCCCUCUUGCGGGCGCCUGGGCUGGUCGGGCGGAUCCCGGAGAGGGGGAGCCGCGGGGACGCAGCGACAGACUCGGGGUGCUGGCAGCGGCAGCCCACGCCUCCCAGGGAUUGCAGGCCUGGGCGCCGGGGUUGGACCAGUCUCCCGGGCAUGGCACGCCCUGGUUAUUCUGUACCCGUGAUUUGUGGCGGGGCAAGACGUUAAGUUGGGUGACACCGAGGUGAGCCACGGUCCUCGGCACCAGAUGAGGAACCACUGUCUCAAUAAGGUCUCAGUGCUGUGUGUGUAAUGGUUACCGUGAGAGCUUCCCUGCAAUCCGAAUUUGUGUGUCUCAUUCUCAGUGACACCAGUGAUGCUGUUAAACAAGGACAAUCCGGUUCAUGGAUUGUGACAACGCACGCUGACAUCAAGCAGACCCUGCCGUCAGGUACAGAGGGCACCACAGUGACCAGGAACUGCUGUCCUUUCAUACCAGGUUUUAGGAGGCUUUACCAGAAGGAAUGGAAAAUGCUGGUGGGCAGUAAGAUUGAAACAGCAUCUGAGGACUGGUUCUGCACAAAACCUUAAAUUCUUCAAGGACUUUGACAUUUGUUUAUUCUUGUAACAAAUUAAAACCUAUCCUGUGUGUUGGUUAGAGAUCUUCAAACUGUAAAUACCUUGAGGCAGGAGUGAGGUUUUUAUCUUUUAAAGGACAGGCCCCUACUCUCCUACGUAAUGAGUUUCUAAAAAUGGAUGUGAGCACCAAUCAAUAUUUCUCUGGUUGUUAAAGUCAAGAAUAAAAUGGUAUUUUUAAGCUCGCAACUGUGUAGGAUGAAUUCUGUACACUUUUAUUUCCCUCUGUUCUCCUUUCCUAUUUGAAAGUUUAUUAGUUUGUGGACUUGGGAUCGGAUUAUUCAUGCAUUAUUUUUUGAUGUUGUAUGUCUCUUGGUUCUUGGGUAUUUUUGACACAUAUUCUGUCUUGUAACCAUAGUUAAACAAUUGUUUUAGACCAACUCUCUGUGUGUAAUUGGCUUCAACACUCACUGCUAGUCCUUUGACGCUCUGUUUUUUUCCAUUCUUGAGUAAUUUUAAGUCAUCACUUGGGCAGUUGAAAUAUAUUUUAAAGUGAUUUAAAGAAUAUGUGAGUGGCAGACAUUCUGAACUCUUUUGGUUGUCUGUCCUCAAAAACUAAAACUUAUUUGUGAGUAAAAUUUUCAUCUAAGUGUUUUCCAUAUAAAAACUCUGUCAGCUACUGCUCCAUUGUAGUAGACACAAAAAAGUCAGCACAAUUUUCAUCCCUCCCUCCCUCCCUUCUCUUCCCCUUCCCCUUCUUGCCCUCCUUCCUUCCUUCCUUCUUUCCUUCCUUCCUUCCUUCCUUCCUUCCUUCCUUCCUUCCUUCCUUUUUCUUUUGUUUCUGAAUGUACAAAGAAAACACUUAAAAAUUUGCUUGUAAUUUAAAAACUUGUCAGGAUAUUUCUGGAUUUGAGUGUUUCUUGGUUACUUUUACCUGGAACCUGGUGAACUGAGUCCAUUCCUCUGUUUGCCCUUUCUGUACUUUUUUGGAAAGUUUUCUUUAAUUAUAUCUUCAAUUAUUGUUUCUCUUUUGAUUGUUCUAGAUUCUUCUUCAGAAACAUAACUCUUAGGCUCAAUCUCUAUUCCUGGUCUUCCAUAGCUAUCGUCUUCUUUUUAAAGUACUGUAUUUUAUUGAAUCUAAGCUAGUAUUUGUUGUAAGAAGCACUAUUAUUAUAUGUACAACUAAGGAAGAAAAAAUGCUGCCAAUUAAACUGUGACAUAAUGCCAUGAUUACAGUCCUGUGAAAUUGGUAAGUUGCUCACACCAUUCUCUCUCUUAUUUUGAUAGACUUCAUCUAUUUUGAGGGACUUGGCAGUUGCUCCUGCCUUUGGUUGCAUUGUUUGGCAUGUGACAGGCAAUUCUUUUUGCAUGAGUCUCAGUUACAAAACAUAACACAGUUUCUACUUAAGGAUACCUUCUUUUCUUGGGUCCUGUCAAGCACUUAGUUUAAAAAAAAAAAAAGAAUUGCAGUGGUUGGUCCAAUAAUAGACAUUUGCUUCAGUAAUAUCAAAUUACAUCCUGCUGCUUGAAUUCCAUGCCUUUCUGCAUACAUAAUAACUUCUCAUUUCAAUGCCAAACCAUAGUGUAAUCUUUUAAAAGACAUUUUAAAUGGCAAUUAAACUCACAUGUAAUUGCAACAAUGUAUACAACUCAAUUAAAGUGCUAACAACAUGAACAACUGAGACCAAGUUCACCCAUGCCCAGGUCUUGAUGACCUCACCAUGGCAGCUCCCUGGCCCAGGGUGAUUAUAAGAUGCCAGUGAUUGCAAGACUUGGCCUGAUUUCAGAAGUGAUGAUGUGGCAACACAGACAUCUUAGAAUUAAGGAAAUAGUUUUAAUUCUUGGUGCUCUUUCUUGGCAUUCUGAAAGUGUUCCUCCAGUUUGCCAUCUAAGAUAUUCCUUAGUUUUCUGCCAUGUCCAUUUCACUCAUUUACUCCUUCCUAUAUGACUUUUAAUUAUUGUUUAAUAAUUUAAUUUUCUUGGGAAUAUCUUUCUCUUGUUACAACCAGUUUCCUUUAUAUCUUUUCUUGGACUCCAUUGGCCAAAUUCUCUUUCAUAAGCCUGAAGCCCCUAAUAUUUACCCUGAGACUGUAUUCUAGUUAGUAGAAUGUGAAUGGAGGUGAUGUGUGUGACAUAUAGGACUUCCCCAUAAGAGCCUUUAAUGAGUUGUCCUCUGUUCUCUUUCCCCUCUUCCAGCUGAGUGCCAUGAGAGGACAGUGACAACCUUGGGGCCUCAUGGUGAAGGUGGCAGAAACUUUGUUAGCCUGGGUGCUCAGGGUGGACAGCUGCUCUUGCCAACCGGGAACAUUUGCCUUGAGCUCUUUUGUAAGUGACAGAUAAGCUUUUAUUGUACUUCAGCCAAGAUACAAACAUUGGACGUAUUUGUACAGCAGCUAAAGGUACUAUAAUAAUACAUAUUCUGAAAUCACUAUGUACCCUAAAAUAUUUUAACAAAAUUCUUGCAAUAUUUGUAUGAGAACUGCUGGAUUUUGCUUUCUUACCAAAUUUGCUGUUGCUACUGAAAAAAGAGAAUAACUUGGACAAUGAAAUGAUCUCAAAUGAGGUAAUAAAAUCAUUACUGAAUUU